UACAGGAGUCGAUGGGAGAGUGAUCAGCGGUCAAUUUAGCAGGUCUUCACUAGACCCACUAAAUCGACCGCCAAUGCAUCAGUCGCCGCACGUCGAUCCCCUGCCAGUUUCUGAUGUUCUUAACUAUGUGGAAUUGUACUUGAAGCCAAGGGGACCACUCGUGGAGUAAGGUGCUACACAACUCAUGUUAACUGAAUCCAAAGAGAUGGCAUCAGAAAACAUUGAGGCCUAUUUAUUGAUGAGAGAAAGAUCUGCUGUGUUGUGUUUUCCUCCAAGACAUUGAGAUUUGCAACUGGAUUGGU